UACGUAGGGGGCAAGCGUUGUCCGGAUUCAUUGGGCGUAAAGCGCGUGUAGGCGGCCAGGUAGGUCUGGUGUGAAAACUCGAGGCUCAACCUCGAGAGGUCAUCGGAAACCAUCUGGCUAGAGUCCGGAAGAGGAGAGUGGAAUUCCUGGUGUAGCGGUGAAAUGCGCAGAUAUCAGGAAGAACACCCGUGGCGAAAGCGGCUCUCUGGGACGGUACUGACGCUGAGACGCGAAAGCGUGGGGAGCGAACAGG
rnacentral:rRNA from 1 species